AGACUCUUCCUCUCGUGUUCCAUUGGGCAUGUAAGAGCAAGAGAGUUGAUGUUGCAAGAAAUAUUGUGGAACAUCACGGAACAGAAUGGAAGGACGACGAUGGUCGUGAUGCAUUGGAUAUUGUGGCUGUUUAUGACAACGUGGACAUUGCUGACAUCAUCCUGAAGAGAAGACUGGCACACGGCAAUGAUGUGGAAACGACUGUUUUUAUGUCAAUGAAAGAUGUUGCAGUGGAG